ensembl:lncRNA
AGCAGCUGGUAUGCUUGAAGAAUGUGUUGAAAAGGUUGGAAAACUCAGCCUUCAGUGCUUCUAGUUGGAAAAGAGCCAGCUGCCACUUAGAAAGAGAGAAGACGCCAUAGGGGAACAGCUCAUAGAGCUGAGAAGACUUCAGAUUGAGAGACAGCAUGUCGAUAUAUGCUACACAUCAGCCAGAAGGAAUCGAGCAUCCUUUGACCUCAAAGAGGUGGUGACCAAGCAGGGACAGGAUUCCCAUAUCUUCAUGUAGUUCAUCACACAGGAGUUUGCAGCCCCUUUGACACAGCUAGAAGAAGGGAAUGCCUAAUCCAUGUCACACCUCCAGCUCAUACCAGGGCAUGUGGGCCUGAAUUGUCAACAAACUUGGCAAAUCUUCAUCUUUGUCAUGGAUAAGCUCUGAAGCUAUUGUCAAUUAGAGACCACAAGAUAUCAGCAUGUGUCCAGGCUGUACAGUGCUGAGAGUGACCUGGUUUGGGUACCAGACUUCUACAUCUAGCUCUGCCAGGUCUCCAGAUGAAAGGCUGAGCCGUCUUCCAGAUCUGUGCCAGAUAUUUACAGUGAACACCAUAUCAGAGGAUGAAUAUCCUUCCUGGAAGGAAGCACCCCUGCAGCAGCCCAGGCUAGGGAGAGACAGGCUGGGGUCCUAGGGGGCAGCUGAGCAUGGGCAAGCCCUGUGCCCUGGCAG